UACGUAGGGUGCAAGCGUUAAUCGGAAUUACUGGGCGUAAAGCGUGCGCAGGCGGUUUUGUAAGACUGUCGUGAAAUCCCCGGGCUCAACCUGGGAAUGGCGAUGGUGACUGCAAGGCUAGAGUUUUGCAGAGGGGGGUAGAAUUCCACGUGUAGCAGUGAAAUGCGUAGAGAUGUGGAGGAAUACCGAUGGCGAAGGCAGCCCCCUGGGCCAAUACUGACGCUCAUGCACGAAAGCGUGGGGAGCAAACAGG
rnacentral:rRNA from 1 species